rnacentral:rRNA from 1 species
UUGCACGCUGGCGGCAGGCCUCACACAUGCCAGUCGAGCGGAUGAAGGGAGCUUGCUCCUGGAUUCAGCGGCGGACGGGUGAGUAAUGCCUAGGAAUCUGCCUGGUAGUGGGGGAUAACGUCCGGAAACGGGCGCUAAUACCGCAUACGUCCUGAGGGAGAAAGUGGGGGAUCUUCGGACCUCACGCUAUCAGAUGAGCCUAGGUCGGAUUAGCUAGUUGGUGGGGUAAAGGCCUACCAAGGCGACGAUCCGUAACUGGUCUGAGGGGAUGAUCAGUCACACUGGAACUGAGACACGGUCCAGACUCCUACGGGAGGCAGCAGUGGGGAAUAUUGGACAAUGGGCGAAAGCCUGAUCCAGCCAUGCCGCGUGUGUGAAGAAGGUCUUCGGAUUGUAAAGCACUUUAAGUUGGGAGGAAGGGCAGUAAGUUAAUACCUUGCUGUUUUGACGUUACCAACAGAAUAAGCACCGGCUAACUUCGUG